GAUGAACGCUGGCGGCGUGCCUAACACAUGCAAGUCGAACGGAAAGGCGCUGUUAAGGCCGUCGGGUCGAGGGGGGGACGAGUGAGUGGCGGACGGGUGAGUAACACGUGGGCAACGUGGAACAUAGAGGGGGAUAACAUAAUAACAGUUCUGCUAAUACCCCAUAUGGAGGGGGUGCGGCAUGUUAGGCGGUGGGGGAUGGAUUGGCGGCAUAUGAGCUCGUUGGUGGGGAAGUGGCUGACCAAGGCUGUGACGGGUAGCCGGCCUGAGAGGGUGACCGGCCACAUGGGGACUGAGAUACGGCCCAGACUACUACGGGAGGCAGCAGUGGGGAAUAUUGCACAAUGGGCGGAAGCCUGAUGCAGCAACGCCGCGUGCGGGAUGACGGCCUUCGGGUUGUAAACCGCUUUCGCCUGUGACGAGGCGUGAGUGACGGUAAUGGGUAAAGAAGCACCGGCUAACUACGUG
rnacentral:rRNA from 1 species